CAAAAGGCAUUGUUAGUCACCAUCUUAUAAUAAAUGUAGUUCACUGUAAAACCAGUCCCCAUCAUAAGCUUGGGAAGAAUUGGAGGAGCCGGACUUAAAGUACGAGUACUAUCCUCGCGCCGUUCAGUUGGCCUCUAUGUUUCUUCCUUGUACAAGAAUGAACCACAAGUUUCUGAUCACCAAUGUGAUUUAUCUUGCCUGAUGUCAUUGCUAAUCUUGAGGUUCAUUUUCUGAAAACACCUUUAAUGUUAAUACCAGGGACUUGAAUUUCAAAUUUUUAUAGAAAGGAAGAAUUGACUUGUUUCAGUUUGUUUCUUUAACUAAUGGAAACUGGUUGUGCAGUCCUGAAACAGCAAUACUUUUUCUGUUCAGUUUCCAAAGGGCCCUUCCGCAAAAACCAGACAAACCUAUCAGUAUACAUCUAGUCAGUGAAUUUGAGAACAUGCCAAUCCUAUCUAGCUGCUGUACCAGGUACAAAAUUCAAAAGGAAUAUUUGGAUGAAACACGAAACUUAAUCUUCCGAACAUCAUUUGAAUAAUUAAGUCCGCCAGCUAAUAACAAAAUGCUUGAGACCAUGUCAAUCAUGAUAAAACAGACAAGGAAACACUGAGCAUUUCAUUACCAUAAGACAUCAAACACAUUUCAGACUACAAAAUCUGCAAAUUAACUGAAGCACCUGAGGGGUUCCUCAAGUUUCCCAGUCAACAACAAGCUCCUAGUUUCUCUAUUACAAAUUGCACUGAAAUCCUUCUAAUUAUGAGGUUACUUGAUCUGUUACGAGCAACUAAUCCUUGCCAAAGUGGUUGGCUCUUCGGAGUCAAAUAUUGUACAUCAUCAAGUUCGAGACUUGGCCGAACACCACAGUAAAACGGGAUUUCUUCACGGUCAUCAGGAAAACGGGGCGAAGGCUUACCCUUGGUUUUCUUGGUUGCAGCUUCCUUCACCGUUGCCCUCUUCACAUGGUUUGGGUGCACACAAGCAAGCCCAGUCAUCA
rnacentral:sRNA from 1 species